rnacentral:tRNA from 2 species
AUUUAUAUAGUUUAAAAGAAAACAUUACACUUUCACUGUAAAGAUAAAGAAAACUUUUAUAAAUA